ACGGCUCAGUAACACGUCGGUAACUGCCCUAAGGUCAGGGAUAGCCUCGCGAAAGUGAGGGUAAUACCUGAUAUGGAAUUUGCCCUGGAAUGGGCUUUCCAGAAACUUGUGCCUUAGGAUGGGCCGGCGGCGGAUUAGGCAGUUGGCGGUGUAAUGGACCACCAAACCAAAGAUCCGUACGGGCCAUGAGAGUGGUAGCCCGGAGAGGGACACUGAGAUACUGGUCCCAGCCCUACGGGGUGCAGCAGGCGCGAAAACUUUUCAAUGCGCGAAAGCGUGAGAAGGGAAUUCCGAGUGCUCAAGCAUUGCUUGGGCUUUUGUCAAGUGUAAAUAGCUUGGCGAAUAAGGGGUGGGUAAGACUGGUGUCAGCCGCCGCGGUAACCCCAGCGCCCCGAGUGGGAAUCACGAUUAUUGGGUCUAAAGCGUUCGUAGCAGGCUAUGUAAAUCCCUUGUGAAAUUGUCCGGCUUAACUGGACAGCGUGCAGGGGACACUGCAAAGCUCGAGACCGGGAGAGGUUAGAAGUAUUCCUUGGGUACCGGUAAAAUGGGUUAAUCCAAGGAGGACUACCAAUGGCGAAGGCAUCUGACCAGAACGGUUCUGACUGUGAGGAACGAAAGCUAGGGGAGCAAAACGGAUUAGAUACCCGAGUAGUCCUAGCUGUAAACGCUGUGAGCAAGGUAUUGCGUAUCCCUCGAGGAUGCGCAGUGUCGAAGAGAAGUCGUUAAGCU
rnacentral:rRNA from 1 species